UAGAAUGUUCUUUACCAAGAAGCCUGGGCCCAGCCCAAGAGGCCAGGUUCCAGGAUGGAGCAGACAUGAACUUGAUGGCUUAUGCUCUUCAAAUAGUAACCAAAGGAUGGGUUGAAUUCCAGCCUGGGUCCCCCUACCCCCCGCCAAUGAGCUUGCCAGAGACCAGAGCGGCUGCCGAGGUCCUCGUCGGGUCAAGUCAGACAACAGUAAGUCAGGCGUUGCGAGCCAACAAUGUGAGCAUCAACGAUGGUGAAGACGAGGGCUUUUGGAGUCACGCUUUCCUGGGUUCAUAUCUUGGCUCUGCCACCAGCUACUUAGGUUCUCUGGGUCUCAGUUCCCUCAUUUGUAAAAUAAGGAUAAUAAUUGGCUCACCUCAUGACGUUGUUAAUGAGUUGCUACCUCCAGACCUGUGCCUGGCACUCAAUCCGUGCCGUAUAAAUGUGCCUGUUGUCACUGUCUUUUGUCACACCACCAAACUCAUCCUGAGCUCUGACCCAUCCCAUGUCCUGAGUCUUUCCGGGAUCACGGAAAGUCCAGUUUCAGAGAGGCACCCCGUCCAGCCAUUGUCAGACGCCCACUUGGAACAGACUCCCUGAGAAGCCUCGGGGUCUUUGCCCCGUGUGGUGUGGCAGUGAAGCCAAGACACAGAGAGAAUCAGAGACAGAGACAGAGAGACAAAGACAGAGACAACACUCAGAGUAACUGUCCUUUCAGCAUGAAAGCUGGGGAGUGGCUGGGCCCUGGGGUAAGGGUGUGGCUGGGUCCACCUGGCAGGACCGUGGAGCUGAGGCUGAACAGCCAUGGGAAUCCAGGGACCAGGUGGGAUGAGGGACAAUGGGAGCCCUUGAGAACUGCUCCAGCGGAUGUGGACUGAGUACACAGCCAGCUGUCUGUCCAGAGCACAAUGUGGUCUGGACACAGGCAAACAGUCAUGUGAUUCUCGUUCCUUCUAUCAGUGGGAGGAGGGAUGGGAGAGGGGCAGGAGGAAAGAGGUAUCACUUGUUCCUCUUCCACCUGGUACCAGCACCCACAGCCUGGAGGAACCAGGCGACCAGGGACACAUUCCUCAGGGGGGCAGGAGGACAUCAAAGGCCUCCAUGCUGACUGGCUCAGAGCCUAGUCUCCACCCGCCCUUGCUCGGCCACCCGCUGUCCCCCGGCGGGUGAUGUGGGUCACCAUCCUGGGCCUGGCGAGGAGACUGGGGGGCCCAGCCCUGUUCUGAGAUGCGGUGUCUCCCCUACCAGCCACACUCCCAUGCUGGCAGCCCGGUGCAUGCCCCCCCCCACCGACCCACCCCAACUGCCCGGUGUUGAAUGAAGAAACGAUGACAUGAUUGGUUCAAGAGUUUUCUCAGUUGCCUUGGACAUUGCGUCUCUCUUGGAAAACGCUAACCUGUUUUCACAAGCCCUCAACAGAGGCUGUCAGCCCCAUGGACAGUGAGCGAGGCCGUUCCUGCGCCUGUGGGGGGUGAGGACAGGGUCCGGGGCGCAGUGCUCCUGGACCAGGGAGGUGUCCCUGUGCCUCCGGGACUGUCCCAGCUCCCAGUGUCUCCUGGGAUGGCCCAGGGGCUUCUUCUGCCCACAUCCCUACACCGUGGCCCAUACCGGUUCACCCCCACGUGAUUCCAGCUCACCCCGAGCUGGGGGGCUGGGGGGGGCAAAUGGAAACCAGUCUCCGUCCCCAUGCCUUGCACUAGGGCAGGACGAAGUGGCAGUGCCCCGAGCAGAGGCUCCGGCCAAGAGCACAAGCCCAGCCUCUGCCUCCGUCUUCCCUUCCCUGGUCGUGGCCACUGCGAGGUGAGUAGGAUGGAGAGGGAGGGAGAGAACGUGCAGGUUAGGGAUGCAAGGGGGGCUCCCUACAGCCUCUGACCCCAUCAGGAUGGAAGCCUGGCAUGAAGGAGUCAUGUCCCUGCCUCUCCUUCGUAGAGAAAGUGCUGCAGGUUCCCAGAGUUCCAGGCACACUCAUACCCACGUGUAAGGACCCACGCAAAUGCCAAGAAAGCGGCAAAAGCCCUUCUCUGCUUCGUCACCAUUUUCGAUGCACAGAUGCAAAGUCUGUAGGACAGACACUGCCUUGCAUGUGGUGAGGCCUCUGUAAUGUUUAUUGGAAAAAAAUAAAGUCACCGUCCAUGAGAAAGCCA
rnacentral:lncRNA from 12 species